UACGUAGGGACCGAGCGUUGUCCGGAAUCAUUGGGCGUAAAGAGCGUGUAGGCGGCCACUUAAGUCCUGCGUGAAAUCUUGCGGCUCAACCGCAAGCGGUCGUGGGAAACUGGGUGGCUAGAGUGCGGGAGAGGAGAGUGGAAUUCCUGGUGUAGCGGUGGAAUGCGUAGAGAUCGGGAGGAACACCUGUGGCGAAGGCGGCCGGCUGGGGGUACCCUGACGCUGAGGCGCGACAGCGUGGGGAGCGAACCGG
rnacentral:rRNA from 1 species